AAUUUUGACCCGAGAAGGGUAAAACUGUGAAUUUAAUUUAUUUAUGUGCUUAUGAACUAUAUUAUUAUAUAGUAUAUCUGGUGUGUCCUUUUUCAGGUGUGUUCUGACAAGUUGGCGCGGUAUAGUCACAACCGGGUAUUUCGGGCCGAAAUACAAUUUUGGGAUGUUUAAUUGGCAUUUUAUUUUUAUACAAGAAAUCUGAAAUUUAUUAUUUGAGUGUGUGAAAUGUGAUAAUUAUAUUUUUUUUACCCUUAUAUGCUUGAAAAUGGGAAUUUGGCCCUAAGGGCAAUGUGGUAAUUGUGUAUUUUGGGUUAUGAUUCAUUAAAAGGGAAAUAUUAAGCAAAAUGAGAUUUUAUUUCUGCAUUUUACUCCAGCCCUAGCAGCCAGCCUCUCCCUCUCUCAAAAACUCAUUUUUUUAGCUUUGAUUUUGUGGUGAAUUGCUUGUGGAAGAAAGCUUAGUUUUGGAGAUUUGGGGAUUUGCUCUUGCUUGGAUUUGAGGAUUACCAGCACUUGGUCAAGAGCACCCGGGGAUUUGGAAUCUCCAUAUUUGCGGGACAUCAGGUAAGACAGUAGUUAGCACGUAGAGAUAUGCGCAAUGACGCUUAUAUGGAAUGUGAUUUAUAUGAGAAACUAAAAACCGGGAUUAGAGUUAUUACUCUAAAGGGAGCGGUUUAUUGGCUUAGGGUUAUUACCCAAGUGAAUUGUUAAUAUGUAAUUGUUAUGCCAUGAUGUAUAUAGAUGUAUAUUGAAGUAAAGGGUUAUGUGUUCAAGGCAUAAUCAGGUUGGACUCGGCAACUAGAACCGAGAUGAACCGUUCUAAGGCCUUAUUGUAAUUAGACGUGUGAGCGUAACACGUAGGUCUAUGCCACAUAGACAUAAAUAGGCGUGUGAGUGUAACACGCAGGUCUGUGUCAUACAGACAAAUAUGAAAUGGCAUUAUUAUUUAUGUGAUGAGUUAUAUAUGAUUAACGAUAUAUUUUACUGUCUUGCUGGGCUUGGCUCACGGGUGCUCUACUGUGCAGGAAAGGGUAAAUCUAUCUCUGAUCAGCCAUGAGUAUGGGAGUUGGGCGAUGUAUGUACAUGUUCGUGCCACACUAGACCAAGCGGGUUGGGGUCUACCAGUGUUGAAACUUUUGUAACUCUAUUUUGCCGCUUAGGUCGGUUAAGGAGAAAAGACUUGUAAUAUUUUGUAAAAUGAUUUUUGGGAUCCUAAAAUAUGUAACUUUUGUUUGUAAGGUUAAAAUUAUUACAAGUUUAUGUUCAUUCCGUUUUCGUUUAAA